UCCAGAUCCAGCUUUCUGCAAGUGGGGUAAGUGUCUCCAUGAUACCCCUUCAGGGAGAAUAUGAGGAAUAAAAGAAAAAAAAGGGGAAGAGGGAAGAGAGAUAAAGGGGUAGGGACAAGGCAGAUAGAAAAGGGAUUAUUUGCUUCUCUAGGCUAAACAAGCCCAGUCCUGUCCACCAUUACCUGAAAGCUGCUCCCCUUCCCAGAACCAGCCUCACCUGGGGUAAGAAGGGCCCCGGACUCAUACACACAAAUAAAUAAAUGGAUUAACAUACAUUUGCGUGUCUCCGUCUCAUGGGAUCUGGCCCUCAGCCCCGGCACAGGGCAGCCUCAACCUUAAACAACUGCUGUCAUGACUGACGGCCUUCACGCCGCGGCAAAGACUUCAGCACCGCUACUCUCCUGUGUCUUGCCCUUACACACCGCGAAGAUCUGCGGGAUUUGCCACUGCCAAGUUGGACACUGUGCAGAGAGGAUAUAAGGGACAGAAAUACUCAGAUGCAGAAUGCCAGGCGAUGCUGUGGAUGAUAAGAUGCCUGGUCCAGUUGUAAAAAGGAGAGAAUGGAGGAGAACAGGCACAGGACUCAGCAGGGAAGAGAGGGCUAGAGGACUGCAGCCGCAAGAGAGACUGAGUGGAAGAGAGUGAGCAGGAAUGGCCGGCGAGACGGGAGAACCAAAGCAACCUCGACAGUAAAGCCUGGCCAGGAACUGCGAACAGACUCAAUGGGGAAGAACCCAGACCUGGCGUGAGUCGGGUUCAAGACAAUUCUGUGCCUGCCACCAACUCUGCGUGACCUGGAGCCACUCAACUCACACGCCUGAACCUUGGCUUCCGCAUCUGCCCAGCGUGGCCGCGUGCACCCCACAAAACUGCCUGGAGGACGAAAUGGGAUCGUGCCCACGGAAGUGCUUUUUCAGCUGUCAAUCUCUUUACAAAGAGCAGGGGCUUUUCUAAGGCUCCUGGUGAAUUCCCACAACUGAGGUUCGAGAUAGUUAUCGCCUCUUUCCAAAGGCAGCGGACGAGUUAAUUCUUAAGCCCUUCAGCCCGUGGGGAGCAGAGGCAGAGCAAAGGGCAGGUCUGGAGGCCUCUUCUGGAAAUGACAAGAUCCAUUUAGCAAUCAAUUAGCGCUGUCCCCAGGCUCCCCGCCCCGCACUCGGCAGAAAGAAUGCGCCACACUGCACUGAUUAGAAACAGAUGCGCUGGCAAACAGGCCCGGCCGGAAUUCCUGGGCACCCAGCUCCUGGCUGGGAGACGGGGUUCGUUAGUACAUUCUGGGCACCGACAUGCGGAGGGAGGCCAGGGAAACCAAGCUGAGAGAGAGCAGCCUGCCUGGAGAAAUGUGUACCUUUGAGGGGAUUCAGAAGUGGGGGAGGGAAGAAUGUUGACUCGGUCAGAAAUAAUCUGGGAUAAAAUUAGUUCAACCAGAUACAGAAUACGACUUUUGACCACCAGAUGCUGAUUCCAAACGUGACCCGGCUGCUGCAGGAGGAAGAGGGCCUCGGGAGCCCAGACAGGGACGCUCCUCCGAGUCCUGACAGCAAUCAACACAACACUGCCCUGGGAGCACACUGUGAGCCAAGGCUGCGUGCGAUCCCCACAGACAGACGAGCUCCCGGUCCGAGAUUACAAGGCAGGUGAGAAAGAAUCAGACAAUGUGAGCAAGAGGACUGGAUUCCUCGCCCCAAGACUUUGACCGUUAGAAUAAAUAGCAUACAAAUUGUAAAAUAAGUAUGUCUUAAAUAAUUAACAGAAUAAAGGAGUUUUUAAAAGGUAGAAGAGACUUUUAAAAAACAAGCAUAUUUGGAAACUAUUCAACUUGAACUAUUUGAAAAAUACAGAAAGUCACCAAAGUUAAAAACCCAAUGGUUGAGGUAAACAACAGACUAAAAUGCAACUGAAGAGAUAAUUGGUACAGUGGAGGUUGCUAUGUUAAUAAUUUAUCUUAUUGCUUCUUAUGCAACAGAAUAUCGAAUAUCUUUGAAUAGUGUUAUAAGUUGGAGUGCCAUUUUGAGACAAAUCACCCAAAGAUAAAGUGAAAUUGGUUAUUUCAAACAUAGCUGUGAUGAGCUUUUUAACAUUAACUGUCAAAUGUGCCUCUUUUACCUUUGAACAGACUAACUUCUUACAUCGUUGAAACCUUAUUUCUCCUUCAACAUCCACAUCCUUCCAAUACUGAACGUCGUAAGACCUGUUACCGUGAUACACGUCCAGUCCCUGCACCUUCUGUCACAGUCCCAGGUAUACUGACACUAUGGUCAGUAGUAGCAUUCCUGGAAGCCAUUCCUAAGCCAGGGUAGCUAGCAAUACCUGACCUAUACAUGGAAAUGGUGGCAAACAACAUAAAUAUAUGCCAUCAGGCUGGAUGGUCUGUCAGCCACCUGGAACCACCACUGUUUCUUUUAAGUCAGACAAUUACUUUUCCCAGUAUGGAUCCAGGUUAGAGUUUGCCAACAAGAGAAACUUAAAGAAGAUUGGAAGGUGGACAAGAAAUAAGGUGAAAUGACAGCAAUUUUUUUUCCAGAAGGUUGUGCCAGUUACACAUGGCUUCAAAAUUUCUCCACAAGCGACCCCUCUGAGGUCAUACAGAAGUAGUGGUUCACAGUAUUUCCACAAACUCUUGAUUCACAGUUGUGGUGACAAGGUGCAGUGGUUCUCAGUCUGUCCCACAAUCAGCAGCCUCUCCCAGCCUCUCCUGCUUCCCCUUCCCUAUGCCAGACGUGUAUACAUAGAGAGUGACAGACAGAGGCUGAUAGUCUGGCUGGUGAACAAGGACUUUGAAAGAAUAAGAUUGGAAAGUUGAUGACAAAGAUAAAAGAGGGGUGAGGAAAGAGCUCUCCAAAUGAGCAUAUUUGUGUGGAGUUGUUCAGCAGAAGAGGUCUCCAACAGUCAGUAGAGAAAAUAACUCAUUCUAAGGAUAUCAGGCCGCCUUUCCCCCAGCCACUUCUGUCCUUGCUCAAGAUGCUCACCAAUGAAAUGGCCAUUUUGGAAGGGAUGGAGGUUUCCCAUGGGCUCAGCAAUCGGGGCCCCCACUUACCAAGGCUGCUUUGGCUACAGUCCCUGCUGAGUGCCCAACGUGCCCACAACAACUAACACUAAGCCCUGAAUAUAGCACCAUUUUGCAGAGGAAUAGCCAAGCUAUUUGAAGAAACAUGAUGAUAUUGAAACAAUGCCGUUAUAGAAAGAAUUUUCAUGGAAACUGACAAACUGAUUCUAAAAUCUGUGCGGAAGACUAGAGGACCAUGAAAACCUAAGACAUUCUUGAAGAAGGACAGGAGGAAAGGAUGCCCUACCAGAUAUCAAGAUAAAACUAUAAAAAUCAAAAUAAUGUGGUAUUGGACAAGAGCAGACAAACUGCUGAAACAGAAGAGAGAGUCCAGAAACCAAUGCAGGUACACACGGAAGCUGGAUUUGUGACAGAACUGACAUUAUAGAUUAGUAGGAAUAGCAAGGACCAUAACAAAUGAUACUGCCACAAAAGGUUAUCUAUGUGGAAAAAAAUUAAAAUUAAUUCCUCCUUCAUGUCCUACAUAAAAAAUCAAUUCAAGGUAGAUUAAACACAAAUGUGAAAGAUAAAAAUCAGAAGCAAAUAUAGGAUAAUAAUUUUAGCUCCUCAGGGUAGAGAGAGACUUCUUAAAUAAAAGCAGAAAAAGCAGUUACCUUAAAAAAGGAAUUAACAACAAAGGUAGAUAAAUUAAAAACUUACGGUUUUCCAGAGACUCCAUAAAGAAUCAAGAAAAACAAGCUUCAAACUUGGAGAUGACAAUUACAACAAUUAUUACAAAGGAUUAAUUUCUAGAACAUUGCUUAGAGAUCAAUAGGAUGCAAUUAAAGCAUGCUUAUAAAUCAAUAAGAAUAUAACCCAAAAGAAAACAGAUGAAAGACUAAAACAGGAAUUCCACUAGAAAGACGAAUGUCUACUAAGCAUGAGAACAUGCUCUACAUAUUUGAGAAAAUUAAAAUCACAAUGCCAAUAUUAAAAGUUUAAGUAUACACAUGCACAUACACCCUGCCAUACCAUUCCACACUUACCAAUUUGGCAAAAAUUAAAGCACUGACAGUACUAAAUGAGUAUGUGAGGCAAAAGAAAAUCCUAUGUUGAAAGUAGGAAUGUAAAUUGGCACCAAUACUAAUUGUUAUGUACCAAUUAGUUAAGUUGAACAUGCAUAUACCCUAUGACCCACAAGUCCCAGAGACAGGUAUAUAAUUACCAAAGCUGGCAACAGCACAGUUGUCUAUAAUGAGUAGAUUCGAUUUAUAUAUUGUGAUAGAUUCACACAAUGAGGCCACUGUUUGGCUAUGCCGUAGAGAAAACGAAUGAAUGACAGUGCUACUCAUCAACAUGAGUUAACUUCAAAGACAAAUUUUAAGGGGAAAAAGUCAAAGAACAUAUAUAAACGUCAAAAGUAGGCAAAACUAAAUAAUAAUUUGUGUAAAACAUAUAUACCUGUGAUGAAAAUUAAUCAGAAAAGCAACAGAAUAAUCAACACAAAAUUCAGAGUGGUGGUUAUAUGGAGAGCAAGGCAGGAUGCACUUGAGCAGAAGCACAAAGGUAACCUUAAAAAUAUUAGAGAAUAUUCCCAUAGUCAACAUGAAUGCUGGGUACACUGUUCUUUAAUACAAGUUUAUAUGUUCUUUUAUGUAUGACACACAAUAAAAGCAAACACUCGGACAGUUGGAAUAAGUGGCACAGAACUGAGCCCACAAAAAUGGUCCAUUAUACUAUGUGGUGUGUUACAAUAAUAGCCAUGUAGCUUUAAAGGGUGCUAGCAGGUCAGACACUUUGAGGAGAAAAAAGGUGUAUUAAUUAAUCAAGCAAUAUAUUUAUUAACUUUUCAUUUUCUUAAUAUACACUUUUAAAUUAAAGGUUUUAAUGCAGGGUUUUUUUUUUAAAAAAGAGGAAGUGGUUAAACAUUUUCUCAUGUUGAUAAAUCUUCAGCUACAGGAGACAUAGGGAGUCCUUAGAAGGAUAAGCAAAAAUGAAACCAUUCUGAUGUAUGUUAGGUAAGGUGACCACAUAAUUUAUCAUUCCAACCAGAUUAUUUUGAGAAUGAAAGAGGCGUUAUUAACAUUAUUCAAGGGUAACAGGUGUAAACCAGGACUGUCCAGGGCAAAUCAGAACAUACUGUCAUCCUGGUAAACUGCAACCACAGAGAAAACACGGAUUGCUUAAAAAGGAAACAUAAUUAGACUGGCAAGAGACUUUUCAUCAGUGACAACAGACACAAGGAGACAAUGGGGAAAUAUCUUCAAAUUUCUUAGAGAAAAUAAAGGUCAACCUAGAAUUCUAUAUCCAAGUAGAUGUUACAGAAAGAAAACAAAAAAAAAACCCUUUGCUUAAACUAAAAGAGUUUUCCAUGCUGAAAGGACUAAAGUUUAUACUUCAGGUACAAGAAAAUUGAACACAGAAAAGGAAUGAGGAGCAAUUAACAAUGAUGAGCAAAUAAAUUUACAGAUAAAUCUAAAUAAACCCUGACAGCACAACUGUGGUAAGCCUGACAAACAACAUUAAUUAGUAUAAUGAAUAAUGUAAGGAUAUUAAAAUAAGGUAUAACCUAGAAACUGGAAACAACAAGCUAGGAAGGAGGCAAUGAUCAUAGACUUAUAUUGCUUGGGAAGAAUAUAGAGAUGUUGAUUAGUUGUGGCCUUGCUAGGUCAAGUAUAUACCUUAAAAUUUUAAGUAUAAUCUCUAAGAGAAUGGAAAUAGAAUGCAGAGCUUCCACACUGGGAGAGAAGCAAAAGGAGAAACAAAAACAAUGAGCUCUAUCCUCCUGAGACAGGAAUGGGAGAAAGGACAAUCAGGGUAACUAGAAAGGACAAAAGAAAACAUAUCAAUAUUAAGCAUGUAUAUCAUACAUGUUAACCAAAAUAAGAAAACUGAUACAAAUAUAUCAGCAAUCACAAUAGACUUAAAAACACUAGAUUAUUGACUUAGGAGAUAGAGAUCCUCUGAUUAGAAUAAAAAACAAGAGCUGGAUACCUGCUUUACAAGAGGUGUGUUCAUAAAAGAUGCUUAAAACACAAGGACUAAGGAAAGGCAGGUAUUUUUUUAAUGAUAAACUGAUAAGCAAAUAUUAAUCAAAAGAAAGCUAGUGUAGUCAACCAAUAUGUGACAAACUAUACUUUAAGGCCAAAGCAUAAUUAGAAAUAGUGAGUUACUCUAUAAUAAUUAAAGAAAGUUUUCAUCAGAAAGGUAGAACAUUUCUGAACUUAUGCCCAUCUAACAAAUAUAGCCUCAGAAUAUAUAAAGCAAAGUUUGACAGAAAUAUAAGAAAAAUUUUAAAUCUGUAAGCAUAGUGGGAGAGUUUGACAUAUCUCUCAGAAAUUGAAAUAUCAAGGAGACCAAAACAAAUGAGGCUAUAAAAGAUAUUAAUAAUACAGUGAGGUUAACUGGAUGGACAUACGUUGAAUUCGACAAUUAACAGCUAGAGAAUAUACAUUUUUUAGGCAUCCGUGAAGAUUUUCAAAAUUGAUCUUGUACUACAAUACAAGCCAGUCAAGAAUCUAUCAUACAGACUACAUUCCCUCAUCACAAUUAUAUUAAAUUCAAAAUCAAUAACACCAUGAAUACAGCAUUAAAAAUUCAAUGUUUAGGAAAUGUAAAAACACUUUUAAACGAAUGGAUCAAAGAAGAAAUCAAAAUGAAAAACAGCAAAUAUUUAGAACUGAAUGAUAAAAUUCUACAUAGCAAAGUUUGUGGAAUGUAGCUACAAGCAACACUUAAGAGGUAUGGCCAUAAAAGCAUAUAUUAGAAGGAGAAAAUGGAAUAUUCAUGGAUUAAGUAUGAAAUUCAAGAUGUUAUAUAAAGUACAACAGAGUAAAUCCAAAGAAAGUAGAAGGGAACCACAAAGAAAGGACCAGGUAUUUAAAAAAUAGGGAACAAAGAAGCAAUAAUAGAGAUUCUUCUAUUGAAAUGCCAGUAAAAUUGAUAAACAGUUGACCUGACUGAUCCAAAUAUGAAAAGGUACAAAUAAACAAUAUUAGGAAUGAAAGAGGGACAAAACUACAUAUAGAAUGGAGAAUUUCAAAACAAUAGAAUACUAUGAACUAGAUUAUGCCAAUAAAUUGAAAAGUUAGAUGGAAUGGAAGUUUUCCCAGGAAAAAAAAGUUAAAACAGAUUGAAGCAAAAAUAGAAAAUCUGAACACAAAGAUAAUCAUUAAAGCAAUUAAGUCUAACUGUUGGUUACCAUGGGGGAGUGAUUGAGAUGGGUGGAUGGGGAGAGUAAGGGGGAUAAAGGGGCACAAAAUGCUCAAUCUUAAUAUAAGUUGGUCAUGGGGAGGGUAGCACAGAAUGGAGAAUAGAACCGAUGAUUCUGUAACAACUAUGUUGACAGAUAGUAAUUGUACUAGUUGGGGUAAGGAUUUAAUAAUAUGGGUAACGGUUGAACCACUGUGUUGUAUAUUUGAACCAAUAUAGAAUUGUAUAUCAAUGAUACUUCAAUUAAAAAAAAAGAAAUUGAGUUUAUGUUUUAAACAUCUACCCCCAUAAUACAAAAACACAAGACCUGACCCUGAGUGACAAGUUAGUUCUACCAAACAUUCAAGGAACAGAUAAUGCAACCUCAUUCAAAUUACUCCAAAGAAUAGGAAAAGAAGGAAAAUUUCCCAAACUAUUUUAUAAUGUGAGUAUAACCUUGAUACCAAGAGGAAACAAGAAAAACUAUAAUAUAAUCUCACUUUUCAACAUACAUGUAAAAAUCUUGAAAUGUCACAAACCAUUACAAUCUUAUGUGCAAUAAUAACAACCACCAACAUAAACAAACUAAGGUUAUUCUGGGAAUAAAAGGAUGGUUUAACAUGAGAAAGUUGCUAAAAUAUUUCACAGAAAUAAAUCAAAGAUGGAAAUCAUAUGAUUAGUCAAUACACAUAGAAAAAUUCUUUUUUGAAAAUAUUCAACAUCUUUUAUGAUAUAAGUUUUUAAAAUUCUUAGCAAACUAAGAUUUGAAGGGAACUUUAUAAAAUGUAUCUACAAAACCCGUAGAGUGAGCAUCAUCGUCCUAUGUCAGAAGCACUCCCUUUAAAGGUAGGAUCAAGACAAGGCUGAUCAUUAUUUCCUCCUCCACUCACCACUUUUCUGGAAGUCCUAGCCAGUGCACAAAGACAAGAAGGAAAAUGAAAGGUGUAAAGAUUUGAAAGGAAGAAAUGAAACUCUCAUUCUCUAUAGGUUGUAGGAUCAUGCAUACAGAAAAUCCAAGAGGAGCUAUUGCCAAACCACAGAAAUUAAUAAAAGAGGUCAGAAAAGUGCCAAGUAAAUUAUCAGCGUACAAAAAUCAACUGUCCUCCUACAAUCAGCAAUAUAUUAUUUAAUGUCAUUUUAUAAUUCCAUUUAAAAUAACCAAAAAAUUGUGACAUACCUAACAUAGAUACAACAAAAAAUAUGCAAAGAUAUUUACAGAGAAAAGCAUACAACUUUAUUAAAAGACCUUAACAAAAAAUAGAGAAAUAAACUGUAUUCAUGAAUGGAAAAGACUCAGGGUCAUAAAGCUGGC